UCCACUCAUUACAGGUAUUAACUGCACCUGUUUGAACUCGUUACCUGUAUAAAAGACACCUGUCCACACACUCAAUCAACAGACUCCAACCUCUCCACAAUGGCCAAGACCAGAGAGCUGUGUAAGGACAUCAGGGAUAAAAUUGUAGACCUGCACAAAGCUGGGCUACAGGACAACAGGCAAGCAGCUUGGUGAGAAGGCAACAACUGUUGGUGCAAUUAUUAGAAAAUGGAAGAAGUUCAAGAUGACGGUCAAUCACCCUCGGUCUGGGGCUCCAUGCAAGAUCUCUCCUCGUGGGGCAUCAAUGAUCAUCAGGAAGAUUUCCCCAAGAUCUCAGACUCCGGAAUGGGAAAAUGCUUACAAGAAAGAAACAUAUGAAGACAGUUGUUGUUACUUGCAAAGUUAAAAAGGGGAGAAAAAGACAAUCCUUUUGUCACACCCUGAUCUGUUUCACCUGUCUUUGUGCUUGUCUCCACCCCCCUCCAGGUGUCAGCCAUCUUCCCCAUUAUCCCUAGUGUAUUUAUACCGAUGUUCUCCGUCUGUCUGUUACCAGUUCAUUUUCUUUGUCAAGCCUACCAGCGGUUUUUCCCUUGCUCCUGUCUUUUUUUACUUCCUGUUUUCCUGUUGACCAUUUCUGCCUGCCCUGAACUUGAGCCUGUCGUUUUGUACCUUGUCACACCACCCUGGAUUAUUGACUUCCGCCUGUCCUGACCGCGAGAUUGCCUGCCUUCUAUACCCUAUGGACUCUGAUCUGGAUAACUGACCUCUGCCUGUCCUUGACCUAUCGUUUCGCCUGCCCCCUGUUCUAGUAAUAAACUUGUAUUACUUCGA